rnacentral:rRNA from 1 species
AGGACGAACGCUGGCGGCGUGCUUAACACAUGCAAGUCGAGCGGAAAGGCCCUUCGGGGUACUCGAGCGGCGAACGGGUGAGUAACACGUGAGUAAUCUGCCCCUAGCUCUGGGAUAGCUCCGGGAAACCGGGAUUAAUACCGGAUACGACCACCUUAGACAUCUUUUGUGGUGGAAAGAAUUUCGGCUAGGGAUGAGCUCGCGGCCUAUCAGCUUGUUGGUGGGGUAACGCCUACCAAGGCGACGACGGGUAGCCGGCCUGAGAGGGCGACCGGCCGACACUGGGACUGAGACACGGCCCAGACUCCUACGGGAGGCAGCAGUGGGGAUAUUGCGCAAUGGGCGAAAGCCUGACGCAGCGACGCCGCGUGGGGGAUGAAGGCCUUCGGGUUGUAAACCCCUUUCAGCAGGGACGAAGCGAAAGUGACGGUACCUGCAGAAGAAGCGCCGGCUAACUACGUGCCAGCAGCCGC